ACGGAAGGCAGCAGUGGGGAAUAUUGGGCAAUGGGCGCAAGCCUGACCCAGCAACGCCGCGUGAAGGAAGAAGGUUUUCGGAUUGUAAACUUCUGUCCUUGGUGACGAACACAAUGACGGUAAUCAAGGAGGAAGCCCCGGCUAACUACGUGCCAGCAGCCGCGGUAAUACGUAGGGGGCAAGCGUUGUCCGGAAUGACUGGGCGUAAAGGGCGUGUAGGCGGCCUGAUAAGUCUGGAGUGAAAGUCCUGCUUUUAAGGUGGGAAUUGCUUUGGAGACUGUCGGGCUUGAGUGCGGAAGAGGUAAGUGGAAUUCCCAGUGUAGCGGUGAAAUGCGUAGAGAUUGGGAGGAACACCAGUGGCGAAGGCGACUUACUGGGCCGUAACUGACGCUGAGGUGCGAAAGCGUGGGGAGCGAACAGGAUUAGAUACCCUGGUA
rnacentral:rRNA from 1 species